AGAGUUUGAUCAUGGCUCAGAAUGAACGCUGGCGGCGCGCCUAAUACAUGCAAGUCGAGCGAGAAGACGUAGCAAUACGUUUGUAAAGCGGCGAACGGGUGAGGAAUACAUGGGUAACCUACCCUUGAGUGGGGAAUAACUAGCCGAAAGGUUAGCUAAUACCGCGUACGCUUCUUGGACUUCGGUUCAGGGAGGAAAGCGCUACCGUGGGUAGCGCGCUCUUGGAUGGGCUCAUGUCCUAUCAGCUUGUUGGUGAGGUAACGGCUCACCAAGGCUUCGACGGGUAGCUGGUCUGAGAGGACGAUCAGCCACACUGGCACUGCGACACGGGCCAGACUCCUACGGGAGGCAGCAGUAAGGAAUAUUGCGCAAUGGGCGAAAGCCUGACGCAGCGACGCCGCGUGGGGGAUGAAGGUCUUCGGAUUGUAAACCCCUUUCGAGAGGGAAGAUGGAAUGGGGUAACCCAUUCGGACGGUACCUCCAGAAGCAGCCACGGCUAACUUCGUGCCAGCAGCCGCGGUAAUACGAAGGUGGCAAGCGUUAUUCGGAUUUACUGGGCGUACAGGGAGCGUAGGCGGUUCGGUAAGCCCUUUGUGAAAUCUCCAGGCUUAACCUGGAACAGUCGGAGGGGACUGCCGGGCUAGAGGACGGGAGAGGAGCGCGGAAUUCCCGGUGUAGCGGUGAAAUGCGUAGAGAUCGGGAGGAAGGCCGGUGGCGAAGGCGGCGCUCUGGAACGUUUCUGACGCUGAGGCUCGAAAGCGUGGGGAGCAAACAGGAUUAGAUACCCUGGUAGUCCACGCCUUAAACUAUGAAUACUAAGUGUCGGCGGGUUACCGCCGGUGCCGCAGCUAACGCAUUAAGUAUUCCGCCUGGGAA
rnacentral:rRNA from 1 species